AACAAAAACAUGUCCUUUUGUUUGUAUUUAUUUAAGGUUUGACCUGCCCACUGAAUUUUUUUUUAUUUUGAAUGGCCGCAGUAAUUUGACUGUGCAAAGGUAGCAUAAUCAUUAGUUUUUUAAUUGAAAGCUUGUAUGAAGGGUUGGACGAAGUAUAAUCUGUCUUUAUUUAAUUUAUUGUAGAAUUUAAUUUUUGAGUCAAAAAGCUUAAAUAUUUAUAAAAGACGAGAAGACCCUAUAAAUCUUUAUAUUAUUUUAAAUUACUUUAAUUAGGUUUAUUUAGUUUAUAAUUUUUUAUAAUAUUUUAUUGGGGUAAUAGGAUAAUUAAAUAAAUUUAUUUUGUUUUUUUACAUUGAUUUAUGGUAUUAUGAUCCAGUAUAUUUUGAUUGUAAGAUUAAGUUACUUUAGGGAUAACAGCGUAAUUUUUUUAAAGAGUUCAUAUCGAUAAAAAAGUUUGCGACCUCGAUGUU
rnacentral:rRNA from 1 species